rnacentral:ncRNA from 1 species
GGAUAUAGUUUACCCAAUUCUUAGUAAAGUAUUUGAUAAACUAUCUUACACAAAAGCCUACUGUGGGUGAUGACACAAUAUGAUUUCUUCCCAAUGCUUUAAAGGUCAAAGUGAAGAAAUUCAAUGGAGCAUGAGUAAAUGGCAGGAAUAACUAUUACUCUCUUAAGGUAGCCAAAUGCCUCAUCAUCUAAUUAGUGAUAUGCAUGAUUGGAUGAACAAGUUUUC